GCUGCACAUAGCUACCAUAUUUUCUUGUCCUGACAAAUACUGCCUUCAGUGAUUUUUUUUUUUUUUUUUUUUACCAUGGCUUAAAGAAAGUGGCAUUAAAUUGCUUUGGAAGCUAAACUGAGUAGACUGUAUUGAUACUUCUGUUCAGAUCCCUUAUACUGGCCUUCUUAUUAUAUACUUCUGGCAUAUGAAGCCAUGUUAACAUGUGAAGGUAGAAUUUCUAGCUAAGCAUGCCAUGGUGGUCCAUUUUCUCCCCAAGUGUUUCC
rnacentral:lncRNA from 12 species